CUGACAUAUUCAACCAUUCAUGGGGUCAUGGGGGCAAGCAUGUGCACUUAAAAACCCACUCAUCUGACGGUAGAUGACCAGAUGGUGGACACAAGAACACAUGCUGACACCUAGUUGCGGGUAUGGACCAAAUACUGUGACUAUGUGUCCCAGUUCACCCAGCUGCAAAUGGGUACCUUGUGAGGAGGAGGCUGUGUGAUAACUUGCUUGCGCGCUAACAGGCUGCAUGACUUGAAUACUCCCCAGAGAGUUGAGUUGGU